GACGAACGCUGGCGGCGUGCCUAACACAUGCAAGUCGAACGAAAAGGCGCUGCUUUUGUUUCUUGCUCGAGUGGCGAACGGGUGAGUAACACGUGAGUAACCUGCCCUUGACUUUGGGAUAACUUCAGGAAACUGCUGCUAAUACCGGAUAGGCGCCCCUGCCGCCUGGUGGGGGUGGGAAAGUUUCGGCGGUUGGGGAUGAACUCGCGGCUUAUCAGCUUGUUGUUGGGGUAGUGGCUGACCACGGCUACGACGGGUAGCCGGCCUGAGGGGGUGGGCGGACACAUUGCGACUGAGAUACGGCCCAGACUAGUACGGGAGGCAGCGGAGGAGAAUAUUACACAGUGGGCGGGAGGCAGAUGCGGCGACGCCGCGUGCGGGAUAGCGACCAUCGGGUUGGAUUCCGAUUUCGCCUGUGAGGAGGCGUGAGUGACGGUACCGGGUAAAGAAGCACCGGCUAACUACGUG
rnacentral:rRNA from 1 species